AUUCCUAAACCAAGGGAUGGCCAACCAGGGGCUGAUGUCUCCCUGUGGAGAAGGGGAGGAGACAGCAGACACCCACUUGGUACACGUGGGCAAGGUGCAUGGGAAAGGUGGGGACGCUCAGGGACAUCACAGGCCACGCCUCUUCCUCAGCCCACCCUGCUCCUGGGCCUGUGACCUGUGACUAGCUAGGGGCAAGCACCCGGGGGUGGGCUGCCUUGGGGGAGGGGAGAUCCACUCAGCUUUCCCUACGGUUUCUUGAGCAUGCAGGCAAGAUUGGACCUCUUGACGUGUUCCCAAAAGAGAGGAGAAAAAAGUGAUCCCUGGUUUGCAUUGCGUUUGAGGUGGGGCAUGCCCCAAAUUCAAGGCUGCUCUGUGUGAGCUGGGAGGAAGGCUCCUUAAAGCAAAGCUUUGCUGGGAACAGGCACGGCUCACAGGCUCUGACUGCUUCUCUGGAACUCAUGGCUGCUGGAAACUUGUCCUCUCCCCACCUUGGAGCUCUCCCCAGCCCUGUUCAUCAUUGAAGGAAGUCAGCCCAGUCAGGAACUCAAGCUGGCCAGGAACCUGGAGGCAGAGGCUGAUGCAGAGGCCGCGGAGGAAGAAGGAGCUCACUGAACCCCGACCGACGGCCCCAGCGCCCCUCCGGGAGUUGCUCAGUGCCCUGGCCGUCCUCACUGACCUGCCAUACUGGAGCCCUCAGUGAGUAGCAGGAACCCAGCUCACCUCAGCCUCAGCUGUCCUCAGGAAAGCUGACUCCCGGGGUAUGGGGGGUAUGGGGGGCAGGUCCUGCUGGCCAGGCCUUGGUGUGCAUGUGGCCCGGUGGCCCCGUGGUUAGCCUUACUGGCUUGUGCACUCUGCUGGGCUCUCAGACAUGCCGUCCUUCCCGUACCUGGCCCCACCUUUCCUUUAGUGCUGCUUCUGUUCAGACGGAGACACCAGCUCCUCUUUCUGCAGUGGCUUCUUAGUGGGACCUGCAAGCCUGGCAAAGCACCUGGGCAGACUCGCCUGUCAGGGCAGAGGUGCCAUGGCUAUGUCCCCUUAGCAUCUUAGAGGAAGGCAUAAUGGACGACAUCAUUACCAGACAAACCGCUGACAAGUUUAAAACUGCUGCCUUCUGCUUUAUUGACAGGUAAAUUGUUCAAAAAUGUUCUCACAAUAAUUACAAAGACUCAGACUUACAUUAAAAAAGUAAAAACCAGAACCCCCAGCAGGUGCCUGCCCCGGCACAGAGCCGGGGAGGGUGGGUGGGGCAGGCAGCAGGUGCUGGGUGUGACACGCAGGCUUGGCCUGCUGUGCCACCACCCUCAGUGCCAACUCGGCCAAGUGCUCACCCUGAAUUGUGUCACCAAGCACGCCAACGGGGAAGGGAGGCCUGUCCAAGAUGAGGACAAGACAUGUCUGCUGCCACAGUUAAUCGCCAGCCUUCACGGGCAGGGCCACUGACCUGGUCACUCAGCCCAGGACACAGGAAGGGAUGAGGUUCAACACUCGUGGCACUCCCGGGCCUGGUGCUGCUGAUGUGCAGGAGUGUUGGGCGAUUCUGUGACACAGAGGCUCCAUGCAGGGUAAGGGGAUGUCACAGGGCCUGGGGCAUGGCUCCCCAGGCUCCGGUUGCCUCUGAACUCAGCAGGCCAUGGACCUGUCUUCCCCACCGUGUGCUGGCCUGUGGCAGGCUGCAGACACACAGGGAGCCAGCGCACAGCUGCCUUCACAGCAGGAGGGGCAUCUCAUGGCUGUGGCCCAGAAUGGACGGACACAGGGACACAGGCGGCCGGUCAGCAGCUGCCUGUGUCAGGGUUAAGUGGAUGAAAAGGCCACCAACUACCCUCUGCCUUCUGUGGCACUGGGAUGGCGCACUUUAGUCUUUGUAGGGUUGAGACAUUUUCAGGAGAGAGGGAGGGUCUUGAGGCCAUACCCCAGCAUCUGCUGAGGAAGCCGGUGGACGUGGGCCUGGGUGGUCCUGGGGGGAGGGGUGAGUGGUGGUCCUUCAUGUGCAAACGGAACAGUGUUGCCUCGCGGCUGUGCAGACGAACACAUCUGGUCGAUUGCCACCAACAAUGUGGCACAAAACUGAUCAUUAUAAUAAAGAUUAUUUUAUCUAUCU
rnacentral:lncRNA from 1 species